UACCUAUUCUUACUUCAGGCCAGAUGA
rnacentral:piRNA from 1 species